GUCUUUUUGAAUUUAAUUUAAAGUCUAAUCUGCUCUAUGAUUAAUUAAUUAAAUGGCCGCAGUAUUUUGACUGUGCAAAGGUAGCAUAAUAAUUAGUCUUGUAAUUUGAGGCUGGAAUGAACGAUUGAAUGAGGUAAAUACUGUCUUUAUUUAAAUUUUGAUUUAAUUUAAUUUUUGAGUUAAAAAGCUCAAAUUUUUUUAUAGGACGAGAAGACCCUAUAGAGUUUUAUAAGUUUAUUUAAAUUGAAAUUUAAAUUAUUUUUAUUUAAUAAAAUUUAUUUUAUUGGGGCGAUAGAAAAAUUUAAUAAACUUUUUUAUUUUAAAAACAUUUAUUAAUGAUUUUUUGAUCCUUUAUUUAAGAUUAUUAGAUUAAAUUACCUUAGGGAUAACAGCGUUAUUUUUUUUAGAGUUCUUAUCGAUAUAAAAGAUUGCGACCUCGAUGUUGGAUUAAAAUUAAUUUUAGGUGAAGAAGCUUAAUAAUUUAGGUCUGUUCGACCUUUAAAAUUUUACA
rnacentral:rRNA from 1 species